rnacentral:tRNA from 3 species
GCGAGUGUAGUACAGCGGUUAGUAUACAAGUUUUCCAAACUUGGGAUGAGAGUUCGAUUCUCUCCACUCGCACCA